rnacentral:rRNA from 1 species
UACGUAGGGUGCGAGCGUUGUCCGGAAUUAUUGGGCGUAAAGAGCGUGUAGGCGGUUUGGUAGGUCCGCUGUGAAAACUCGAGGCUCAACCUCGAGACGCCGGUGGAAACCAUCAGGCUAGAGUCCGGAAGAGGAGAGUGGAAUUCCUGGUGUAGCGGUGAAAUGCGCAGAUAUCAGGAAGAACACCCGUGGCUAAGGCGGCUCUCUAGUACGGUACUGACGCUGAGACGCGAAAGCGUGGGGAGCAACAGG